UACAGAGGGGGCAAGCGUUGUUCGGAAUUACUGGGCGUAAAGGGCGCGUAGGCGGCCUGCUAAGUCGAACGUGAAAUCCCUCGGCUUAACCGGGGAACUGCGUCUGAUACUGGAUGGCUUGAGUUUGGGAGAGGGAUGCGGAAUUCCAGGUGUAGCGGUGAAAUGCGUAGAUAUCUGGAGGAACACCGGUGGCGAAGGCGGCAUCCUGGACCAACACUGACACUGAGGAGCGAAAGCCAGGGGAGCAAACGGG
rnacentral:rRNA from 1 species